GUGAAAUUCCGUCGGAAUCUGGGAGGACCAUCUCCUAAGGCUAAAUACUCUCUAGUGACCGAUAGUGAACCAGUACCGUGAGGGAAAGGUGAAAAGCACCCCGGAAGGGGAGUGAAAUAGAACCUGAAACCGUGUGCUUACAAGUAGUCAGAGCCCGUUAAUGGGUGAUGGCGUGCCUUUUGUAGAAUGAACCGGCGAGUUACGAUUUGAUGCAAGGUUAAGCAGUAAAUGUGGAGCCGUAGCGAAAGCGAGUCUGAAUAGGGCGUUUAGUAUUUGGUCGUAGACCCGAAACCAGGUGAUCUACCCUUGGUCAGGUUGAAGUUCAGGUAACACUGAAUGGAGGACCGAACCGACUUACGUUGAAAAGUGAGCGGAUGAACUGAGGGUAGCGGAGAAAUUCCAAUCGAACCUGGAGAUAGCUGGUUCUCUCCGAAAUAGCUUUAGGGCUAGCCUCAAGUGAUGAUUAUUGGAGGUAGAGCACUGUUUGGACGAGGGGCCCCUCUCGGGUUACCGAAUUCAGACAAACUCCGAAUGCCAAUUAAUUUAACUUGGGAGUCAGAACAUGGGUGAUAAGGUCCGUGUUCGAAAGGGAAACAGCCCAGACCACCAGCUAAGGUCCCAAAAUAUAUGUUAAGUGGAAAAGGAUGUGGCGUUGCCCAGACAACUAGGAUGUUGGCUUAGAAGCAGCCAUCAUUUAAAGAGUGCGUAAUAGCUCACUAGUCGAGUGACACUGCGCCGAAAAUGUACCGGGGCUAAACAUAUUACCGAAGCUGUGGAUUGUCCUUUGGACAAUGGUAGGAGAGCGUUCUAAGGGCGUUGAAGCAUGAUCGUAAGGACAUGUGGAGCGCUUAGAAGUGAGAAUGCCGGUGUGAGUAGCGAAAGACGGGUGAGAAUCCCGUCCACCGAUUGACUAAGGUUUCCAGAGGAAGGCUCGUCCGCUCUGGGUUAGUCGGGUCCUAAGCUGAGGCCGACAGGCGUAGGCGAUGGAUAACAGGUUGAUAUUCCUGUACCACCUAUAAU
rnacentral:rRNA from 1 species